AUGAAGUGUCAAAAGUCCAUUUUAUUUUCAUUUUUACUAUAAAUGGUAAGUUUUAGAUUGCAUAUAACUUUUGAUCCUUCUGAGUUGUCGGAGACGUGCCAACAUGAAAAGGGCUCCGAAAAAUUAGGAGAAUAAUGUGGUUAGGCCAAAUUGGGCUGUUACUACUUUUGGUAGAAAACCAUGAAGUCUAGUAGGAAUGGAUAUUGUCUGUAAAUAGCUUACAAGCUAAAGAAGUCAGUGGAGGAUGAAAUUCAUUUUCUAAAGGGAUGGGUUUCAGAACUUGAAAGUGAUCUUGUGUCGAAGUUCACAGAAGUUACAUUUGCAAUUUCAAGGAAAGAAGAAGCUCUAUCUUCUGCAUUUGCUGAAAUUGACCGUCUGAAGGAAGAAAAUUCUGCAAAAAUGUAAGCAUUAUUGAAUGCAUAUGGAGGGUGUUUACUGUGUUGGAGUGUAUUUGUUUCUUGCAUAUGAGGGCAUGUCUUAGUUGUAAUUCUUAUGAUAGGUUGAGCAAAGUGAAGUAUUGUUUAUUUAGAAAUGUGAAUGUAGGAUGUAUUGUAUGAUUUGAUUGCUAUUUGUAAUAAAUGCAUCAUUUUUUUUCUGAUUGCAUUUUAUGUACUA